GAUCAUGGCUCAGGAUGAACGCUAGCGGCAGGCCUAAUACAUGCAAGUCGAACGGUAAGCGUCCCUUCGGGGUCGCGAGAGUGGCGCACGGGUGCGUAACGCGUAUGCAACCAGCCCCCGUCCGGCGCACAGCCGGUGGAAACGCCGGGUAAUGCGCCAUGCGCCCGAGUGGGGGCAUCCCUGGUCGGGCAAAGCCUACGGGCGGAGGGGGACGGGCAUGCGUGCCAUUAGAUGGUCGGCGGGGUGACGGCCCACCGAGUCCGCGAUGGCUAGGGGAUCUGAGAGGACGGUCCCCCACACUGGUACUGAGACACGGACCAGACUCCUGCGGGAGGCAGCAGUAAGGGAUAUUGGGCAAUGGGGGCAACCCUGACCCAGCCAUGCCGCCGUGAGGGAAGUAGGCCCUACGGGUCGUGAACCUCUUUUGCGCGGGGACAAGGGCGGCCACGCGAUGGCCGCUUGAGGGUACCGCGCGAAUAAGCGCCGGCUAACUCCGUGCCAGCAGCCGC
rnacentral:rRNA from 1 species